AGCUCCAAUAGCGUAUAUGUAAGUUGUUGCGAUUAAAAAGCCCGUAGCUGAACCUCGGGGAGCCGUGACGGUCCGCCUAUGGUGAGUACUGUCGUCGGCUCUCUUUCUGUUGGGUGCUGUAUCCGGCGUUAACUCGCCGCGAACGGAGCCCAGCAAGGUUACUUUGAGUAAAAUAGAGUGUUCAAAGCAAGCAUGCGCUCUGAAUACACUAGCAUGGGAUAACACGACAUGACCGAUGGUCUAUCUUGUUGGCCUGUAGACCCGUUGGUAAUGGCUAAUAGGGACGGUCGGGGGCAUUCGUAUUUCGCUGUCAGAGGUGAAAUUCUUGGAUUUGCGGAAGACGAACUACUGCGAAAGCAUUUGCCAAGGACGCUUUCA
rnacentral:rRNA from 1 species